GUCAAUAUUAAGGAAGUUGUUGCAUGGUGUAAGGCAGGAAGACAACAAAUGUUGGUAGGGCCUGGUGGUGAACAACAGGGAAGCUAGAGUCAGAGCCAAACGACAAAGAGCCCACCUGCUCAGAAAAUAUAUGGGAGUGACUGAUUUCUAACAUGCGUUAUUGACAGGGGUAUGAAUGUGGCAUAAACCACAUUCCUGGCAGCACUUGAAAUUAAUUAGGUGUUGUAGGUAUCCCAUGCCAGCCAUCACCUUUGCAAAAAUCUGCCUUAGAGAGUGAUAGGAAGGCAGGAACCUUCAGUCUUCACAAUUGCUUCAUUGAGGCAAGACCUACUGGGAAGGGCUGCUGUGACCACUAGGACUGAGUGGUUUUGUUUAUUUGAAUAAAACGUUAACUUCACUGGCAUUGGGUGCUUCAUUGUUUUAUUGCUGACCUAUGCCUGACUCCAGCUCCUGACAGCACCUGGAACACAGUCUUCUCCACAAGACUGAGAUGUGAUUCCAAUUAAAUCAGGGCAGUUAUUUCAAAAUUUGUACAUAAACAUUUAAAUCAACAUAUGAAAAAUUGUGGGUGCCUUUUGUGAUGCAUGUCCUCUUUUGCGGUGAUAUAUAAAUACCUACCCUGCUCUGGAGUGCAGCUAUCUGAAUGCCAGGGACCAGGGGCAUCAAAAUAUAUGGUGGAGGGUGAUCUUGCAAUACAAAACAGUUUUCAUCUUUAUUGCUGUCCCCUGUGAAGUUCCUGUAAAGGGAGAGCAUUUCAUGGGGGAGAAAAUAUUCACAAAAUGUGCAUACCCAAUAGCAUUUGAGCUCAUUCUUGUUGGAGCAUAGAGAGAGAGAAGACUGUUCCAUUGGCUGCUGAUGACACAACUGUCCAAACAGAGUAGGGAGAGCUGUUGGGUGGUAAUGAUACAGCUGCCACUUUUCCUGCACUGAGAGCUUGAUUUUUAUUGAGCAACACAUUUUGGGAGGUUUCUUCCAGGUGAAAGGCCACAUAUUUUCAUCAGACUUAAUAUAUAUUUUUUCUCAUCUUACAUUAUCCAACCUACGAUAACAAAACAGUUCAGGAGGGUAUGGAGGUCAGAAAGACACCCGGGACAUUGUUGCUAUAGAUAUCCAGCUUGGAAGAAAGGGUACUAAACUAGAACUAAAUUUGAAUGAAUGCUAAUCAUAGCUAACCCAUACUGAACUGAACCCAUACUGAAUUUAUCCGUUCAACUUCCUGUGCAGGACUGGGUAUAAGCAACUCUUCAGCUUUAUGUUUUUACCACCAUCCUAUUAAAGUUGGCUUUAUACUUCCUCCAUUUUAAUUGUAUUCAGUGAUGGAUUUUAUGUGAAGUCCCAAAAUGGAUUUGUUUUGUUAGUUCUUCUCCUCUGUGGCAUAUUAACGUUUCAAUUACCAAAAUUAUCAUAUUACCUCAGCUCUGAAAGAGAGAAGAGUGAAGGGACAAGUGUGUAUAUACAACUGAAUGCAUCAUCAAACAUUAAUUUGUUGAUAACAUUAUUACUUAAUGCUUUAUUAUGGGUUUUAUUAUCAUCUCUGCUUUGAUCUUUAUGGAAAUGUGUGUACUUAAGAAUGGUUGACAUGACUGGAGAUGGUGUGUAUGCGGGGUAGGGGUUCAAGCUUUAUUUGGGAAUCUUUCUGUGAUUCAGCCUUGAGGCCUGAGAUGUUUUGUGUGCUUUCUACAAGAAGGGAAUGGAAAUAGACUCUUAAGUUGAACUUAGCCCAAGGAAAACAAUUUUUUUCAAGCAGUGUUUUAAUCAUCCAGAAAAUUUCUCAUGGCUGCAAAUAGCAGCUUUAAAUAGGAAUAGUUUUCGAGCCAUUAGAUGCUUCCUCACGACAAGAGGGCUAAACAGAACAAACAGAGAUGACACAUCAUGCAAAGCAAGAGUAAGGAGGAAUUCUGAACAUUUAAGCAUAAAAUAAACACCCCUUGGUUUAAUUAAUUUUAAAGCAUGAAUCAACCUUGGAGAAAGGAUGUCACAAGAAACUACAACAGGCUAUGACCAUAACCAUACCAGAUGCUGAAUAUUCACAGAAUAAACAUCUAUUUUUAUUGCCUAUAUUUUAAUUUUUAUUUUACAGUGAAAUUUCAUUAUUAAAAGGGGGAAAACUAUAUGACUAUGUUCAGGUAAGGGAGACUCUGGGAACAUUCAUAGUUAAAAAAGGAAUAUUUUUAUUAUUAUUCUUUGCUCUCAUGGAUUCAGAGGAAAGUAUGAAUACUUCUGAGUAGAUUUUAUUAAAUAUUUAUGACAGUUUGCUAUAAUGCUUUUUAUAUUUGUCAGCCAAUUUCCAGGUACAAAGUAAAUGCAAACAGCAUCAUUUAUGAAUGUGGCACAUGUGUAUAAAUUGCAACUGAUAGCAAAAGACUUGCAACUGGUAGCCAGAUCCUUCCCAUGCCACUGCUUGUGCUUAUCUAGCUGGCGUUUAUAAACAUGGGAUUGUGUCCAGCUAAGUUUUACUCAGAGGAGACCUAUUGGAAUUAAUGAACUGAAGUUAGUUAUGAUUAUUCAUUUCAGUGGGACUACUCUGAGUUGGACUAGCAUUGGACACAACGCAUGUGUGCCAUUUGCACAUAAGAAUAGCCUUUUUCACAUGGACAUCCAACCAUCUCAACUGAAUGCUAAAAAACAACAACUGCAUCAUGCCAUUGUCCAUAUUCCUGACAUCCAAACAUUAACUAUGCUUUUAUGCAAGGAGCCUACAAGAGUUCAAAUUAUAUUUGCAUAGGACAGCUCCACACAGUUGGAAACUCUAUAUAAAGUAAACCCCACAAUUGUGUGAGGAGGGGCUACAUGCAUACAACUUGCAAGCAUCCAGGCUCUGUUGCACACAGGCCUAUAAUAAGCAUGUGGAAGUUGAGGGCAAGAGUAAUAGUGAAAUCCUACUCUCCCCCCCCCAUGCAUUAAGACCACAUGGUUGGAAGAUCACAUGAAAGGAGCUAUACUUUGCAUGUAUUGCAUGGGGAAUCAGCCCCAUGGUGUACAGUGCAAAGUAAGAAGAUGUUAUUAAAAUCCAGAGGGGGGCUAUUGGAGCUUCCAGUAGUCAGAUGUCUUCAGUCUGCUUCAUUCCUAGUUAGUUGCUCACUGUGCCUCCAUUCCCAGCCUCUGUUUCUUGAUUCUACACAAUUGUUGGUUCUAAUGCUUUGUGAGUGAUUCAUAAAUGAAAUGAAUAAAUAAUUUUAUGAAGGGAGAAUUGGACUAAACAAUUCUUUAGUCUUCAAACUCUAUUUAAAUACAUUUUGCAGCCAAGAACAUCUGCUAUGUUGGUAUCUUUUUAUACCCAUUUCCUCCUUGCCACCACUACUUUCAUAUGGACUGAAUAGAUAAGUGAUUAGAUUUCAUGGAUGCUGUGAAAAACACGUCAAAAAUUUAAGUUGGAACAGGCAUAGCUUUCCCCAUCCCUGUUUGGAAGCACGGUAAUUGUUGAAUCACAUCCUAUGCUUACUUGCUUACAGGGGGUAAUUAACUCUUGAGAAUUUUUAUUUUAUCUGAUAACACAUACCAUAACACCACAAACACAGAACAAUGUGGAACAAACUGCAUAAAUGAUAAAAAAGCAAACAGGCGGCUCCAUUCAAGUACUUCCCUGAUUAAGGAGAUCUACACGCUUAAGCAGGUUUCCAUGUUUGUAUCACUUUCUGAAUCAGGAACAAUGAGUAUAAAUCUAACGCACAUUUGAAUGUAGACAUCUGUGUAUUCUGAUAAUGCAUCUCUACUGCAUUAUUUUCAACAAAUGCAUCCCAAUUUUGGCUCAGCUAGUUACACUCUCAUAUCUUUUCAGUCUACAACUAGAGUUAGAUUGGGGUGAGAUUCUGCCAGCUCAACAGGUUAGCCUCAGUGCCUGAGGACUAUCAAUGAUGUUGUUUAUUGAUUUCUGUGGUCAGCUUUAAUGGUUGGCAACUCUUGGGAAUUCUCUCUUUCUCAAAAAGCUUGUAGAGGCUAUUUGUGUUCUUUAUUCAUUAAUGGUUCUAAAUUAUUUAAUCUUCCAGUGUGGUUGCUGCAGGCAGAUGUGAAGUUCUUGUUCUACACCCCAAAUUGGAAAGCCAGCAGGAAGAAUCUAUUAAACUUCUCUGUCCAAAUAAUGAUUGAUAUGUAUGGUAUUUGCUACCUCAUACUAUUUUGCCAUGUUCAGGUAUAUUUCUUUUGGGUCUAAGGUCAGACUUGUGUUUAUGUUUUAUACAUUUCUGAAAAAGUGGUGGCUUAAGAUCACUGUUUCCAUUUUCACUAGUUUAGGAAGUGUAUGGUCUGUAUUUGCUUUGGGUUUUUCUCAAGAUGAUCAGUCAAAUUAUCAGAACAUUUUCUAUUUCCAGUUCUUUUACCUUCACCCAAGCCUUGGAUUGCUUGUGACCAAGAAGUGAUGGGAGAUCUCCACCUAGCUUGGGUGGACUAACUCCAGGCCUUGGGCUUGCUCAGCAAUGGCUCAUGCAGUCUUAACCCAUCUCACUCCCUUCAGUGCAGUUGCUGAGCUCUGUAUGAGCAGCAAAUGCGUGUCAGCUUGGAUUAAGAAACAGACUUAAGUCAAAUACUUCUCUCUGCAAAUGUGCAGAAUCCCCCCUUUUUAUUUUGAGCUGUAGAAGAAAUCUGCCAGAAAUAAUGUUCAAAUUGUCCUGCUUCUAGGCAAUAUGAACUAGGCCAGGGAUGGGGACUCUGCUGUUGAAUUCUAACUCCCAUCAACCCCAGCAAUAAUGUCCAGUGGUCAAAGAUGAUGGUGGUUGUAGUAGUCACAGGUUCCCCAUCCCUGACUUAAACAAACACACUAUAUGUAUAGGAAAGGAGAUCUGUUUUUAUAAUUGCUUCUGUAAUUUAGUAACUAGCUAGUUUUUCUUGCAGCAAAAACAGUACAAUGUCUUCUUGCUAGAGGCAUGAGUGUUCAUACGCAGCAUUGCAACAACCAGAUGCUGUUGGAUUGCAGUCCCCAUCAGCCCCAUCUGGCAUGGCCAGUGGUCAAGGAUGGUGGAAGUUGUAAUCUAGCAAUAUUUUUGCUUUGGGCUAUGUAGGAAGAAUGUGGGAAGCAGCCCUUAUACCUAGACCAGUGAUUCAAGAAUUUGCCUCAGAAUUAAUCAGCAAUUAUCCUUCUACAUCUUACAUCAGUAAACAGUUUCCAGAGGGGGUAGCCAUGUCUGUUGCAGUAAAAACAACAAAGAAUCUUGUGGCACUUUAAAGACUAACUAUUUUCUAUAGCACAAACUUUGGCACUAGACUCUGUGUAUUUUUUAAAAAACAGUGGAGAAAUCCCAAACCAAUCACCUU